rnacentral:rRNA from 1 species
GAAUAUUGGUCAAUGGACGCAAGUCUGAACCAGCCAUGCCGCGUGCAGGAUGACGGCCCUAUGGGUUGUAAACUGCUUUUGUCAGGGAAUAAAUCGCGUUACGUGUAAUGCGUUGAAGGUACCUGAAGAAUAAGGAUCGGCUAACUCCGUGCCAGCAGCCGCGGUAAUACGGAGGAUCCAAGCGUUAUCCGGAUUUAUUGGGUUUAAAGGGUGCGUAGGCGGUAAAUUAAGUCAGAGGUGAAAGCCUGCAGCUCAACUGUAGAACUGCCUUUGAUACUGGUUUACUUGAGUACAGAUGAAGUGGGCGGAAUGUGACAAGUAGCGGUGAAAUGCAUAGAUAUGUCACAGAACACCGAUUGCGAAGGCAGCUCACUAAAGUGUAUCUGACGCUGAGGCACGAAAGCGUGGGGAUCAAACAGG